AGGCAACAGCUUGAAAAGCUCAACCAGAUGACCGUAAAGGCCUGAUGACAAAGAUCACAGAUAAAUCUGCAUGGAGGGAACUUCUCCAAUCUCCGUGUCUUCGUGGACUCCUCGUCUGACAAUUUCUUCUGUACUGAGACCGCUGUGAGGUCUCACACACUCAGCAAGGAAAUUACUGGAAUUAUUUAGAUAAAGACAGUCAAUAUAGAAUCUGUGUUUUUUUUUUAAAUAACUACAUUUUGUUUAUGAUCCUAAAGGAAACAAGACUGCGUCAGCAUUGUCACUUAAUUUUAAAGGGGACAUAUAAUGAAAAACUCUCAUUUUCAGUCAUGGUGCACAAACAUUUGAGUAUCUGGAGGGCCGACCAACCCAAAACCUGAAAUCAAACAACCCAGCCAGUUCUUUGUGGGCAUCCUCAAUCUGAUGUAAUUCAACAAGCCAUUCAGAUUCAGCUCCUCUUCCUAUGUCACAUGCAGGCUGAUUAGAAUAUACUGUUCCUCAUCUCCACCAUGGAUGUAUUAUAAGAUAUUUCCAUUUCGGCACCCUUUAUCAUCAUGAGUGGCCGCGUCAGCCUCGUCAAGCCAGGAAGGUAAUCAUAUACAGGAAGGCCACAGCACAGCCGCAUACUUUACAAAAUGGAACAGAUUUCAAAAUAAAACACCCAGGUUUAUGGUGAUUUUGGAUGUUUUGACU